rnacentral:hammerhead_ribozyme from 1 species
UCUAACUGACGAGUCCCAGGUGGGAUGAAACGCGCGUCCUGAAA